rnacentral:rRNA from 1 species
GUGAGGAAUAUUGGACAAUGGGCGCAAGCCUGAUCCAGCCAUGCCGCGUGCAGGAAGACGCAUCUAUGGUGUGUAAACUGCUUUUGUACGGGAAGAAACACUCCCUCGUGAGGGAGCUUGACGGUACCGUAAGAAUAAGGAUCGGCUAACUCCGUGCCAGCAGCCGCGGUAAUACGGAGGAUCCAAGCGUUAUCCGGAAUCAUUGGGUUUAAAGGGUCCGUAGGCGGUUUAAUAAGUCAGUGGGGAAAGCCCAUCGCUCAACGAUGGAACGGCCAUUGAUACUGUUAGACUUGAAUUACAAGGAAGUAACUAGAAUAUGUAGUGUAGCGGUGAAAUGCUUAGAUAUUACAUGGAAUACCAAUUGCGAAGGCAGGUUACUACUUGUGGAUUGACGCUGAUGGACGAAAGCGUGGGGAGCGAACAGGAUUAGAAACCCCUGUAGUCC